AUGCGGCCAAACCAGAUGGCUAGAAAAACUAGUUUAGGUCCCAACUAACUUGGCUAAUUAAAACGAGAUACACUUUUACUCUCAGUCGGGCGGUCUAGAGCUAGAGCGGAUUCUCGGAAACAUGAAAUCUGAAAUUCAAUUGGCGAAUUAAUCAGAAAAUUAAAUACGAUUAAAUGGCAACGAGGAGUGUCUAUGUCUGUGUCUCUGACAGGUUUGGUUUGCAAUUAGCAAAAAAAAAAAGAUACACAAUAAAAAAAUAUGGAAAAGACCCUCCUCGCUGAUUUGGCAACUUCCAUGCAGAUGUCUCUGCUGACGCCGACAGAGACUGCGACUGCGACUGCGACUGCGACUGCGGCUGAUUUAUCAGCCUGGAGCAAAAAACAAAAAACUAAAAAAAAAUAAUUUAAAGAUUUGGCAAUUCAAGGUUUUUAAUGCAACAUGGGAUCGAUUCCAGUCCGGUUUAUCAAUGCGGUUACGAAAUGGCUUCAAAAAAGUGAACCACUAACCAUUAAGGCCCUCCCAUACACAUCCAUAUGCAUUUAUUUUAAAUAAAAGACAAUAUUUGGGUCACCGAAGAUGCUUCGAUCCCAAAAAAAAACACCUCUUUGGGGUCAAAAAAUCAAUUAACAGUUAUGUAGCUUUGGUGGCAAGUGAGUGUGCGAGUGGCAUUGGCGAGUGGCAUAAAUUAGGGAAAACACAAAUCAUUUAAUUGCUCAUUCUCGGCGAGCUUUCUAUUUCCAUGGCGGGUUCUGGCUGGGAUUUCACUUGCCGACAAACGCGGACUGCAUAUUCCCAGUGUGCUAGUGCCCCACAAGUACACUCGAACAAAAAUAUGGGAAAAUGUAAAAACUUUCCGCUCUAGUCCAAAAUAGAACUCAAAAUGUUUCUUCACCUAUUCCUGUA